rnacentral:lncRNA from 1 species
GACCGCAUAGCCCUUCUGGCUUCUCUCUCGCGCAGAGGCACAGCGGCGGCGUCGAAGUCCCCGCCAUCCCGCGAGGGUCUCUUCUCGCCCGCGGUGCCUGUCGGAGUCCAUUCGCGGGUUCUGCAGAGAUCGAUCGCGAGAAGGAAACGAGACGUCUCUUCUCGCUCGCGUCUGCGACGACGCCUCUCGGCCGAGGGAAACGGAGACGCCUGUCGCUCACCGAGCUUCCCACGGCCAGAUCGCAGGCCGAACGCGGCCUCUUCCUGCUGACUGCUCGGCGAGAUCUUCUCUCCCGCCUCUCGUCCGGCGGGGGUGGCCCUCGCCUGGUCCCUCGAGAGGAACAGAGACGAAAAUCCGCGAGUCGUCUCCGCGCCGGAAACGCUUCCCGCGUCUCCGGACGCCUGGGUCUGCUCGCACUUCUCGCGAGCGUAGGUCACCACACCCUGCAUGCAGGCGCCCGACAGUCGAGAGAGCGGAGUGCGUUCAGACACAGGCGCUGGCGGUUGUGCGAGUGGGGGGGGGGGGGGGGGAUGCAACGGGGGCGCCACGGGCGGGACGCGUGUCGCGCACAGAAACCGCAGGAAGGAAGCAAAAGGGUGGCGCGUAAGGCGGUCGAUGGAGCAACGAAACGAGAGAGCCGGAAAAGCGGCAAGGAAGAUAACAGAAAGGGCCCACAAAACGCGCCUCAACGGAGAGACAGCGCGGGCUCAGCGAGAAAAACGCAUGCGGCGAGAUACUUUAGACAACGAGGAAGCUCGGCGAGGUGAGGUGGAAGAAGGUCCGUGGAAACACCACAGAAACAAGCGAGGAAGAGAGUCGGAGCGCGACGGCGAGAUGUGCAGAUGGAGAGAUGUGAAAGAGCUCCCAGAGAAGAGACAAACAGGGCGGGUGUUUUGUGUGGGAGCACAGAUCUGCGAGGGAGCAAAGAAGUCGCGUGGACGCUGCCGAAGCGGGGUUUUCCGAGGUCUUUGGAAGCGAAAGCGUUUCAAAGACGAAACCCUCAGACACACUGCAUGCCCGUCACAGUGCCGCCUCCGUCGCACCUCGUGGUUCGGGCUCCGUCGAUGGUCCAGCUGCGGCCGCAUUUUAGAAAGCCCGCGUCUGGGGGCCCUCUACACAGCCGGUGCGCUUCUCUUUCUGUUUUCCCUUCUUCUCCCACUUCUUUUUGUGCACGCCCGAGACGCCUGCUGCCUGCUGACGGUUUCGCCGGUGUGUGGCUGAAGUGUUUGUGGAGCGUGGGUGCCGGCCCUUUUCCUGUUCGGGCCUCUCGCUUCGGCUUCCUCGUCUUGCGCGUUCAACAGAACCGAGUUGCGCGAAAGCAACCGUUGCGUUGCUCUUUUCCGGCCUACCUGGAAAUCGAGCCCGCUGAUCCACUCGACGAACUGCAGAG